GAUGAACGCUGGCGGCGUGCCUAAUACAUGCAAGUCGAACGAACGGACGCGAAGCUUGCUUCUCUGAUGUUAGCGGCGCACGGGUGAGUCACACGUGGAUAACCUACCUAUAAGACUGGGAUAACUUCGGGAAACCGUAGCUAAUACCGGAUAAUAUUUUGAACCGCAUGGUGCAAAAGUGAAAGACGGUGUUGCUGUCACUUAUAGAUGCAUUUGCGCUGCAUUAGCUGGUUGGGAAGGUAAAGGGUUACGAAGGCAACGAGGCAUAGCCGACCUGAGAGGGUGAUCGGCCACCCUGGAAGUGGACCGCGGUCCAGAGUCCUACGGUAGGGAGCAGUAGGGAAUGUUCGGCAAUGGGCGAAAGCCUUACGGAGCAGCGCGGCGUGAGUGAUGAAGGUCUUCGGAGCGUAAAACUCUGUUAUUAGGGGAGAACAUAUUUGUAAGUAACUGUGCACAUCUUGACGGUUCCUAAUCAGAAAGCCACGGCUAACUACGUG
rnacentral:rRNA from 1 species